rnacentral:rRNA from 1 species
CACCGCGGUUAUACGAUAGGCCCAAGCUGAUAAAUUUCGGCGUAAAGGGUGGUUAGAAGAUAAGCAAUACUAAGACCGAACACUUUCAGAACUGUUAUACGUAUUUGAAAGUCAGAAGCUCAGCUACGAAAGUGGUCUUAACUUACCUUUGACUCCACGAAAGCUAUGAAA